rnacentral:rRNA from 1 species
CCUACGGGAGGCAGCAGUGGGGGAUAUUGCACAAUGGGGGGAACCCUGAUGCAGCGACGCCGCGUGGGCGAUGGAGUGCUUCGGCAUGUAAAGCCCUAUCAGCAGGGAAGAAAAUGACGGUACCUGACUAAGAAGCCCCGGCUAAAUACGUGCCAGCAGCCGCGGUAAUACGUAUGGGGCAAGCGUUAUCCGGAUUUACUGGGUGUAAAGGGAGCGUAGACGGCGAGGUAAGCCUGAAGUGGAAGCCCGCGGCCCAACCGCGGAACUGCUUUGGGAACUGCUUUGCUGGAGUAUGGGAGGGGUAA